rnacentral:rRNA from 1 species
GCAUUGCCCGGUAGCUAUGUUCGGACGGGAUAACCGCUGAAAGCAUCUAAGCGGGAAGCCUCUUCCAAGAUGAGAUCUCACUUUAUCUAUAAGAUAACUGAAGGGCCGUUGAAGACUACGACGUUGAUAGGUCAGGUGUGGAAGCGCAGUAAUGUGUGAAGCUAACUGAUACUAAUUGCCCGUGAGGCUUGAUCAU